CCUUCUCCUUGGCAAGAGGCUCUGUGUCUUGAAUGGGUGCCAGAUGCCAGGAAAUGUUCAAGCAGAAGUACAAGAAAAAGCUGGAAACUUUUUACUGAAUGGGAAAUGAGAAGCCCUCAAUCUCGUUUCCAAAGAAUUACUCACGCAACCAAGCUCUUUCAGGCAAUGACUCGUGACUUCCACAACUUCCCUAGAAACAGAUGGAAAACAGAAAGUGAAUUGGAUAUUAUAAUGAUACAGAUGAUGGCACAGACCAAGUUUGGCAACUUUUCUGCAACUCAUUGAGUCAAUUUUGAUUACAGGUGGGCGGAGCCUCCCGCCGAUUGUUGUGACCCAGGUUCCUGGACCCGGACUCCUGGACUCGGAUGAUUCAGAAAGUGAGGGAGAAGACCUGGCCAGCCCUGCUUCUCUUGAGCCCUUUCCCUCCCUGGCACCCACUCAAAGGGAGGAGGAGGGGCCGGCAAAGCCUGAUUCCAUGGAGCCUCCUUCUGAUUUGGCAACGCCCCAAGAACA